CUAGACUCCUACGGGAGGCAGCAGUGGGGAAUAUUGGGCAAUGGACGCGAGUCUGACCCAGCAACGCCGCGUGAAGGAAGAAGGCUUUCGGGUUGUAAACUUCUUUUAAGGGGGAAGAGCAGAAGACGGUACCCCUUGAAUAAGCCACGGCUAACUACGUGCCAGCAGCCGCGGUAAUACGUAGGGGGCAAGCGUUAUCCGGAUUUACUGGGUGUAAAGGGAGCGUAGGUGGCAUGGUAAGCCAGAAGUGAAAACCCGGGGCUCAACCCCGCGGAUUGCUUUUGGAACUAUCAGGCUGGAGUGCUGGAGGGGUAAGCGGAAUUCCUAGUAUAGCGGUGAAAUGCGUAGAUAUUGGGAGGAACACCGGUGGCGAAGGCGGCUUACUGGACAGAAACUGACACUGAGGCUCGAAAGCGUGGGGAGCAAACAGGAUUAGAUACCCCCGUA
rnacentral:rRNA from 1 species